UAGCGAAGGGGGCUAGCGUUGCUCGGAAUCACUGGGCGUAAAGGGUGCGUAGGCUGGGUCUUUAAGUCAGGGGUGAAAUCCUGGAGCUCAACUCCAGAACUGCCUUUGAUACUGAAGAUCUUGAGUGCGGGAGAGGUGAGGUGGAAACUGCGAGUGUAGAGGGUGAAAUUCGUAGAUAUUCGCAAGAACACCAGUGGCGAAGGGCGGCUCACUGGCCCGAUACUGACGCUGAGGGCACGAAAGCGUGGGGGAGCAAACAGG
rnacentral:rRNA from 1 species